GACGAACGCUGGCGGCGUGCUUAACACAUGCAAGUCGAACGAAGAGCGAUGGAAGCUUGCUUCUAUCAAUCUUAGUGGCGAACGGGUGAGUAACGCGUAAUCAACCUGCCCUUCAGAGGGGGACAACAGUUGGAAACGACUGCUAAUACCGCAUACGAUCUAAUCUCGGCAUCGAGGAUAGAUGAAAGGUGGCCUCUACAUGUAAGCUAUCACUGAAGGAGGGGAUUGCGUCUGAUUAGCUAGUUGGAGGGGUAACGGCCCACCAAGGCGAUGAUCAGUAGCCGGUCUGAGAGGAUGAACGGCCACAUUGGGACUGAGACACGGCCCAGACUCCUACGGGAGGCAGCAGUGGGGAAUCUUCCGCAAUGGACGAAAGUCUGACGGAGCAACGCCGCGUGAGUGAUGACGGCCUUCGGGUUGUAAAGCUCUGUUAAUCGGGACGAAAGGCCUUCUUGCGA
rnacentral:rRNA from 1 species